rnacentral:sRNA from 1 species
GCUGGGCAUGGUGAUGCAUACUUGUAAUCCCAGUGACUUGGGAAGCUGAGGCAGGAGGAUAGCAAGUUCAAAGUCAGCCUCGGCAACUUAGUGAGAUGCUGUCUCAA